AGUGAACGCUGGCGGUAUGCCUAACACAUGCAAGUCGAACGGCAGCACAGUGAGUGCUUGCUCUUACGGGUGGCGAGUGGCGGACGGGUGAGGAAUACAUCGGAAUCUACUUUUUCGUGGGGGAUAACGUAGGGAAACUUACGCUAAUACCGCAUACGACCUACGGGUGAAAGCAGGGGAUCUUCGGACCUUGCGCGAUUGAAUGAGCCGAUGUCGGAUUAGCUAGUUGGCGGGGUAAAGGCCCACUAAGGCGACGAUCCGUAUAUGGUCUGAGAGCAUGAACCGGCACCUGGGCUGUGAGGAAGGGUCCACACUCCGACACGAAGGAGCAGUGGGGAAUAUUGCGCAAGGGGCGCGUGCCUGAUCCAGCAAUACCGCGUGAGGGCAGAAGGCCUUCGGCUUGUAGAGCCAUUAUGUUGGGAAAGAAAAGCAGCAGGUUAAUACCGCGCUAUUAUGACGGUACCCAAAGAAUAAGCACCGGCUAACUUCGUG
rnacentral:rRNA from 1 species